rnacentral:rRNA from 1 species
GAUGAACGCUGGCGGCGUGCCUAACACAUGCAAGUCGAGCGAAGCAUUUUAAAGGAAGUUUUCGGAUGGAAUUUGAAAUGACUGAGCGGCGGACGGGUGAGUAACGCGUGGGUAACCUGCCUCAUACAGGGGGAUAACAGUUAGAAAUGACUGCUAAUACCGCAUAAGCACACAGUACCGCAUGGUACGGUGUGAAAAACUCCGGUGGUAUGAGAUGGACCCGCGUCUGAUUAGCUAGUUGGUGGGGUAACGGCCUACCAAGGCGACGAUCAGUAGCCGGCCUGAGAGGGUGAACGGCCACAUUGGGACUGAGACACGGCCCAA